GUCAGGGUGACGUAGUGGUUAGCGCAUCUGCCUUGUAAGCAGAAUACCCAGGUUCGAAUCCUGGCCUUGGUA